rnacentral:rRNA from 1 species
UUUCCCUCAGGAUAGCUGGCACUCGCUUGAGCGAGUCUCAUCUGGUAAAGCGAAUGAUUAGAGGCCUUGGGGCCGAAACGACCUCAACCUAUUCUCAAACUUUAAAUGGGUGAGAUCUCUGGCUUGCUUGAACGUUGAAGCCACGAGAUAUUAUUGCAAUGGAUCAGAGUGCCAAGUGGGCCAAUUUUGGUAAGCAGAACUGGCGCUGUGGGA